rnacentral:rRNA from 1 species
GACGAACGCUGGCGGCGUGCUUAACACAUGCAAGUCGAACGGAAAGGCCCUGCUUGCAGGGUACUCGAGUGGCGAACGGGUGAGUAACACGUGGGUGAUCUGCCCUGCACUUCGGGAUAAGCCUGGGAAACUGGGUCUAAUACCGGAUAGGAGCCAUUUUUAGUGUGAUGGUUGGAAAGUUUUUUCGGUGUAGGAUGGGCUCGCGGCCUAUCAGCUUGUUGGUGGGGUAAUGGCCUACCAAGGCGGCGACGGGUAGCCGGCCUGAGAGGGUGGACGGCCACAGUGGGACUGAGAUACGGCCCAGACUCCUACGGGAGGCAGCAGUGGGGAAUAUUGCACAAUGGGCGCAAGCCUGAUGCAGCGACGCCGCGUGGGGGAUGACGGCCUUCGGGUUGUAAACUCCUUUCGCUAGGGACGAAGCUUUUUGUGACGGUACCUAGAUAAGAAGCACCGGCUAACUACGUG